UUACAUAAGAUAUACUUAAUGCCAUAAACACCGAGCCACCUGCAGGCGCCAAUAGCUACAGACGCUAAUAAUUUCAGAUAUAGACCACACAUGCAUUUUCCAGGGGUUCAGCCCCGCAUGUAAUU